GUAGGUGGCAAGCGUUGUCCGGAAUUAUUGGGCGUAAAGCGCGCGCAGGCGGUCCUUUAAGUCUGAUGUGAAAGCCCACGGCUCAACCGUGGAGGGUCAUUGGAAACUGGGGGACUUGAGUACAGAAGAGGAAAGCGGAAUUCCAAGUGUAGCGGUGAAAUGCGUAGAGAUUCGGAGGAACACCAGUGGCGAAGGCGGCUUUCUGGUCUGUAACUGACGCUGAGGCGCGAAAGCGUGGGGAGCAAACAGGGAUUAGAUACCCUGGUAGUCCACGCCGUAAACGAUGAGUGCUAAGUGUUAGGGGGUUUCCCGCCCCUUAGUGCUGCAGCUAACGCAUUAAGCACUCCGCCUGGGGAUACGGCCGCAAGGCUG
rnacentral:rRNA from 1 species